rnacentral:rRNA from 1 species
AUGCUUGAGAGAAACAAAAGUGCCACUUAUAACCUUUUUUAAAAGCUUCCCAAAUUGGUGCUAAUCCUACCUAUGGUAACAUUUAGUUUUGAGAGAGUAUUAUCUUCAAUCACUUUUGUGAGAAACAAGUUACCGAACAAAAUGGGGAAUCAACUCUUGAAUGAUUGCUUGGUUACAUUUCUGAGAGGGAAUUCUUUUUUCAAGUGA